GUGGGGAAUCUUCCGCAAUGGACGAAAGUCUGACGGAGCAACGCCGCGUGAGUGAUGAAGGUCUUCGGAUUGUAAAGCUCUGUUAAUCGGGACGAAAGAGCCUAGUGUGAAUAAUGCUAGGAAGUGACGGUACCGGAAUAGAAAGCCACGGCUAACUACGUGCCAGCAGCCGCGGUAAUACGUAGGUGGCAAGCGUUGUCCGGAAUUAUUGGGCGUAAAGCGCGCGCAGGCGGAUCUGCCAGUCUGUCUUAAAAGUGCGGGUCUUAACCCCGUGAUGGGAUGGAAACUACAGAUCUGGAGUAGCGGAGAGGAAAGUGGAAUUCCUAGUGUAGCGGUGAAAUGAGUAGAUAUUAGGAAGAACACCAGUGGCGAAGGCGACUUUCUGGACGAAAACUUACGCUGAGGCGCGAAAGCCAGGGGAGCGAACGGGAUUAGAUACCCGAGUAGUCC
rnacentral:rRNA from 1 species